AUUUUGCUGUCAUCUGUCAACAGUAGUGUAGAAAUAUAUUCAUUUAACGCUAGAGCAAGGGUGUUUAUAUUUAGGCUUAAAAAUGAAGUGUUGUCUUAAACUCUGCGGAAAUGAUAUUUUUGAACAAAGUGAAUCGAGGGUUGAAGUAAAAACUGUUCUACCAUCUCGAUUUGAUGGCAAAAAUUUUCUUGUCUCUUGGAAUAGAAACGGAGAGGCAAUAUUUCAUCUACCCUGUUGGCAGCGUCUCUUAAAAUCGAAACCAACAACUAAUUACAAAAAACUUGGAGCAAAACGAAGUCGGUUAAACUCUUCAGAAUUGGUGACAAAGCAAGAGAAAAGUCUCAUCCAGGAGGCAAAAAAGACGGCGGAAUUCUUUGAUUCUGCUGAGCAAAUAAAAAAGGAGGCCAGUAGAGUUGCAGGAUGGCUGCUUUCUGCAAAACACUGUGUUGUUUUUACAGGAGCUGGGAUAUCUACUGCUGCUGGUAUUGGGGACUACAGAGGCAAAAGUGGAAAAUGGACUGAAAUGGACCAUGAACAAGUGUCAGAUAAAAUAGAACAGAUAUUUGACAUGCAGGGGCCAUCUCCUAGUAAGAGGUGUCACCCAGAGAAGGAACCUCAUAAAGCAGAUCAUGCAUCAGGUGAUGAGGAUCAGGAGGACAGAGGAGAUGAGGGGGUAGAUUAUGAGGAGCUGAGGCCCACCUUCACCCACGAGGCUCUGUGCCGGCUUGUUGACCUGGAUCUUGUGAAGCAUGUGGUCAGUCAGAAUGGGGAUGGACUGCAUGGUUUAUCCGGAAUUUCCAAGGAAAAUCUCUCUGAGCUUCAUGGCAAUGUAUUCAUUGAGAAAUGUGAGAAGUGCCACCACAGAUAUGAGCGAACUUUCUAUGUAAUGGAUGACGCAGGAAGUCAGUAUUUUGAGGACAUUGAGGAUUAUGGAAAAUCAGAAGUGAAGAAACCGAGGCAUGCUAAACGGUGUGACACAUGUGGACUCUCCCACAGGACAGGAAGGAAGUGUGAACAGAAGAUGAACUGGUAUUCAGGUUUUUGGUUUGAUUGAUAUAACUGACAUUGUUGGUAAUCUUUUGUACAAUACAAUCUUCAAAUAAUGUCAUGUAGGGCUGUAAAGGCUUUCUGAAAGACACCAUUAUUAAUUUCGGCGAUAAUUUGGAGGAAGAGAUUCUAAACCGGGCCUUUGAGCAUGCCCAGCUGUGCGACCUCAUGAUUUGUCUGGGCUCCACCCUCACUGUGACUCCAGCCAAUGAACUCGUAGAGGUCAUCCAAAAAACAGGCUGUCUUGUCAUAUGUAAUAGACAGAAGACAGACUAUGAUGAUGACUGUCUACCCAAAUUUGAUGGGAUCCCGGAGGCGGCUGGUUGUCGUGUAUACGGAGACUGUGAUACAUUUAUCAGGGAGAUUCUCAAGAACGUUAUAGGCGAUGAGAGACUUAAGAGCUGGGAGGGGGACAGGCCACAAAGAAUUGUCAGUUACGAAAAAAAUCGCUGUCAAAAGCACUCCGUAUGAAGGGAAUAAGUACAGUGCAUUAUUUAAUUUCCAAUAUUUUAGCUCACCUAAACUGCAAGAAAAAGCAGUUAUUUUUGUGACUGAUAUCACUAUUUGUCUAUUUUGCCUCGCCUUCUAUGAGAUUGAUCAACCUGAUAUAUUUCCAUAGUCAGUCAGUAACAAACCUAAUACUGUAUUAAAGUAAUUUGAGAAAAAAAAUAAUAUCAGGUGCCUGUGAUAUUUUGCACCUGAAAAUAUUAGAAUUUGUCUUUUAUAUUUAUAUAUCGUUAUUACAGAUGUACAUAUUAUGUAUGUUUAUAAAUCUACAUAAUAAAUAAACCAUUU
rnacentral:misc_RNA from 1 species